rnacentral:tRNA from 1 species
GGAUUAUGGCUCAGUGGUAGAGCACUCAUCUAGCAUGUGCGAGGCCCUGGGUUCAAUCCUCAGCACCA